rnacentral:rRNA from 1 species
UACAGAGGGGGCAAGCGUUGUUCGGAAUUACUGGGCGUAAAGGGCGCGUAGGCGGCCUGUUAAGUCGAACGUGAAAUCCCUCGGCUUAACCGGGGAACUGCGUCUGAUACUGGAUGGCUCUGAGUUUGGGAGAGGGAUGCGGAAUUCCAGGUGUAGCGGUGAAAUGCGUAGAUAUCUGGAGGAACACCGGUGGCGAAGGCGGCAUCCUGGACCAACACUGACGCUGAGGAGCGAAAGCCAGGGGAGCAAACGGG